UACGAAGGGGGCUAGCGUUGCUCGGAAUUACUGGGCGUAAAGGGAGCGUAGGCGGGUUAUCAAGUCAGGGGUGAAAGACGGUAGCUUAACUAUCGCAGUGCCUUUGAUACUGAUGGGCUUGAAUGUAGUUGAGGUAGGCGGAAUGUGACAAGUAGCGGUGAAAUGCAUAGAUAUGUCACAGAACACCAAUUGCGAAGGCAGCUUACUAAAGUAUGAUUGACGCUGAGGCACGAAAGCGUGGGGAUCAAACAGG
rnacentral:rRNA from 1 species